AGAAUCACUUUGAAUAGUUUUUUGUUUAGAUGAUCAACAAAAAACAAUGAACAGUUAUUCUUGAGGAAUGCACGUGCGUUUUGUUUGGAAAAAAUCAUUCUUAUUUUGAUCGUUGUAAAGUGAAGUUGCAUUGUGAAAAUUGUGUUAAUAUAAAGUGAUUAAAAUAACAAAUAAAAAGGUCAGAUCAAGGUUUUAGCUGAUGCAUUAGCUGAAUUGAAGGUGAUGGUGCAAAAAUUACUUCGAUCUCAAAGUGAUGAGAUACCUUUAACGAAUAGGUUUCCCAUCAGCACUGAGAAAGAUCUUAUUGAUAUUAAUAACGACAUCACAAGUGAGAAUAAAGAUCUAUAUGUUAAGAUUAUAUCAUCCAUUAUAAAAAGAGAGGGAAUAUUGAAAUCAUUAAAAAAUAUUAUAGGUUUAAAAAUUACUUACGAAUAUAAUAUUGACGGAAAUCAUGGA